rnacentral:rRNA from 1 species
AUUGAACGCUGGCGGCAUGCCUUACACAUGCAAGUCGAACGGCAGCACGGGAGCAAUCCUGGUGGCGAGUGGCGAACGGGUGAGUAAUAUAUCGGAACGUGCCCAGUCGGGGGGGAUAACGUAGCGAAAGCUACGCUAAUACCGCAUACGAUCUAUGGAUGAAAGCGGGGGAUCGCAAGACCUCGCGCGAUUGGAGCGGCCGAUAUCAGAUUAGGUAGUUGGUGAGGUAAAGGCUCACCAAGCCGACGAUCUGUAGCUGGUCUGAGAGGACGACCAGCCACACUGGGAAUGAGACACGGCCCAGACUCCUACGGGAGGCAGCAGUGGGGAAUGUUGGACAAUGGGCGCAAGCCUGAUCCAGCAAUGCCGCGUGCAGGAUGAAGGCCUUCGGGUUGUAAACUGCUUUUGUACGGAGCGAAAAGGCUUCCACUAAUACUGGGGGCUCAUGACGGUACCGUAAGAAUAAGCACCGGCUAACUACGUGCCAGCCGCCGCAGUAACAC